ensembl:processed_transcript Gm12898 predicted gene 12898
AGAAUUUCCUACCCAGAAGAGUCUUACCACAACCCCUUGUAAAGACCAAGAUUCCUUUGUUUGAUGAGGUUAAAAGGCAUAUCCAAUACAUUUCAACCAAAAAGAACCCUCCCUGGCCCCCAAAGACAGGCUUCCUAUACACAGAAUAGAACCUUCCAAGCCUUCCCAUAUUCUCAGUGCCUACACCUCCACGAAGUCCUUAUACCAUGCUAUGGCUAGCUUCUUCCCCCAGCAGACUUUGCUUCUUUGAAAUAAGGCCCUGCAGCCAGGCUGCGGUGACUUACACCAUCAAUCCUAGCACUCAGGAGACAGAGGGGACCUCUACCAUAGCAUCAGCAGGUAGCUUAGCAAUCUCCAAGGAACCAAUAUUCUGGAAAAAUCAAGUGAACUUGGGAGCAGACAGUAAGGCCCUAGCCAAAAACCUGACUGCACCCCUGCAGUAUCACUGAAACCUAGAGGCUGACCCAGUCAAACUGUGGCCACAAAACCAUGAAUAGAUGAGGGUUGCUUUAAGCCACUAACCCUGUGGCAAUUUGUUUACCUCCUAACAAAGUAUCCAGCAUUACCACACAGGUCAGAACCUCCUGAAGAUGUUCUGGGGCAAUGUUCUGGGGUCAGAAUAAACUAAGAUCCCAGCAAAGCCCA